UACGAAGGGGGCUAGCGUUGUUCGGAAUUACUGGGCGUAAAGCGUGUGUAGGCGGUCCACUAAGUCGGGUGUGAAAGCCCUGGGCUCAACCCAGGAAGUGCACUCGAAACUGGCGGGCUAGAGUAUCGGAGAGGUUGGUGGAAUUCUCGGUGUAGAGGUGAAAUUCGUAGAUAUCGAGAGGAACACCGGUGGCGAAGGCGGCCAACUGGACGAAUACUGACGCUGAGACACGAAAGCGUGGGGAGCAAACAGG
rnacentral:rRNA from 1 species